UUUCCUGUACUGCGCCGAGUGUACCGUCACGUGGUUUAGUUUUGUAGACGAAACACUAAUUUAUAUAUAUAUAACGUGGAGAAACUAAUUGAAAAUUUUAAGUAACUAGUACUUCAAUUUCCUACAAACGCGUAAUUGUCCUUCGAAACUUAUCAUUGUAUAGUAACUGUGCAAUAAUCUACUUAGAAAAAUCUGUAUCAAUAAAACAAAUAAAAAUGCUAUUCUCAAAAGAAUACAAUAUACCAGAUUUACCUUUAUUUUCUGAUAGAGUGAAAAAUUAGCUAAACAUUGGAAGAAGUUUAUAGAUUUAUAUUGAACAAGAAAGAAUAUUGUGAAACAGUUUGCAUUUAAUUAUUUUGUAAAUACAAACUAGGAAAAUAUAUUGAUAACUAUUUUCUACAAAUUAUCAUAAUGAAACAUUUGAGUAAGAGAUGUACAUAAACAAUCUGUAAAGUUAGAUCCAUGUAUAGAAUGUACGACAAUAAAAUGAUUAUUUUGUUUAAAAAAAAAAAUAAGGAAAAAUUCAAAAUGAUAAAUUGUAUAAAUGUAUAAUG